GACGAACGCUGGCGGCGUGCUUAACACAUGCAAGUCGAACGGAAAGGCCCUGCUUUUGUGGGGUGCUCGAGUGGCGAACGGGUGAGUAACACGUGAGUAACCUGCCCUUGACUUUGGGAUAACUUCAGGAAACUGGGCUAAUACCGGAUAGGAGCUCCUGCUGCCUGGUGGGGGGUGGAAAGUUUCGGCGGUUGGGGAUGGACUCGCGGCUUAUCCGCUUGUUGGUGGGGUAGUGGCUUACCAAGGCUUUGACGGGUAGCCGGCCUGAGAGGGUGACCGGCCACAUUGGGACUGAGAUACGGCCCAGACUCCUACGGGGGGCAGCAGUGGGGAAUAUUGCACAAUGGGCGGAGGCCUGAUGCAGCAACGCCGCGUGCGGGAUGACGGCCUUCGGGUUGUAAACCGCUUUCGCCUGUGACGAAGCGUGAGUGACGGUAAUGGGUAAAGAAGCACCGGCUAACUACGUG
rnacentral:rRNA from 1 species